UUGCCUUCUGACAUUUUCAAAAUGUCUUGGACUUGAUUCUGUUUUCUUCCGAGAGUCUGUAUGUGUGUCAGUAAGCAUCUGUUUUCCUCUCUUGUCACCUCAUGUAAUCUUAGGGAGUGCUCUUGUUAUUCUGUGCAUACUGUACAUAUAAACCCUGUGAGCAACAGGUCAAUAUUCCGAUGGGCGUCUGUGUUCUCGUCAGCAGACUUUGAUCUGAUGAGCUCUGUAAAGUCUGUUUCUCAAAGAUCUUCUGCAGAUUUAUCUUUCUUUGUUUUCUUAGGGGCACAUUAGAAUUGUUUUGGCGUACACGCUUCCUAAAUGUCAGGUUAUUAUCAUUGAAAAUACAGAGGCGUCUUUGGUCAGGGUCAGAGACAGAAGCACUCAGCUCGGAUUAACAAACAUCAGCUUCAUCCAGACAAACCUUGACUAUUUCACUGGGAACUUCAGCAUUGGGGUGGCCCUGCAUGCGUGUGGAGUGGUGACACACACGGUGUUGGAUCGCUUCCUCCAGGCUCUAGCGGGGAUUGUGAUUAGUCCUUGCUGCUACGGGUUCAUUCAAAACACACACAAGUUCAACUUUCCCAAGAGGAGUAUACGAUCCUGUGCAGGUUCACAGACCAGACGGCUGUCAGUUUACCCUGCAGAACGACAAUUAAUUGGGAAGCGCUGUAUGGGACUGGUGGACUUGGACCGUAGCUAGGCUGCUGAGACUCAUGGGUAUUCUGUGUGGGUGAUGACCAUGGUCCCCGAGGGCUGCUCGCCAAUGAAGAUAUGGACAAGACAACUCUGACUCACGAGAAAUACCCACGUCAUGUCAGGACUACAAAUACCUCCAUGUUUUUCAUGCAUGUUACUACUUGAGUGUUUACCUUGGACAGUUUAUAUUUGUAUGUAUUUCAUUUAAAGGGAUAGUUCACCUAAACAUUACAAUUUGACAUCAUUCUGACCUCAUUUAUUUAUUUCUUUUUCUUUUUCUGUAAGAAGAUUUUAGUCA